GUCCAUUUGUGUGUUGUUUUACCUGUUUACAGAUCGAAGCGCCAGACAGGCGAUAUUAAAACAGCUGAAUACCAAGCAUGGUUAGCACUUGGUGGCAUUGUACCACCGGGUUGUGUCGAGGUUGCCUGUGGGGUAGUCGAUGUACACGCCAGCGGCAAGAAAAAACGUAGUGACAUAUCAAGUGACGACAUCAGACGUUCAACUCUGGCU